GCCCAGAUGGCUCAGUUGGUUAGAGCAUGGUGCUGAUAACACCAAGGUUGCAGGUUCGAUCCCCGGAUGGGGCA
rnacentral:tRNA from 1 species